rnacentral:rRNA from 1 species
CAGAGGGUGCGAGCGUUAAUCGGAAUUACUGGGCGUAAAGCGCACGUAGGCGGCUUAGCAAGUCGGGUGUGAAAUCCCCGGGCUCAACCUGGGAACUGCAUUCGAGACUGCUUUGCUUGAGUAUGGGAGAGGGAGGCGGAAUUUCCGGUGUAGCGGUGAAAUGCGUAGAUAUCGGAAGGAACAUCAGUGGCGAAAGCGGCCUCCUGGACCAAUACUGACGCUCAUGUGCGAAAGCGUGGGGAGCAAACAGGAUUAGAUACCCUGGUAGUCCACGCCAUAAACGAUGAGAACUAGAUGUCGGGAGGGUUAGCCUCUCGGUGUCGCAGCUAACGCGUUAAGUUCUCCGCCUGGGGAGUACGGCCGCAAGGUUG